CGGUGUCUUUUCUUCUGUCAUUUAUAUGUCUAACUAUCCCGAACAUGGCCUCCGAAGUAUGACAGACUCAGAGAUUAGACUCACGCAUUUUGCUGACUUCAUCGCUUUAUCGUCGAAUAUUAUUAAAAGUGAAGUCGGAGGAGAACGGGGAAGGGCGUCAAAGAUCUGCAGAGCCUGGAGAUCAAUAAACAGCAUGGAGAAUAGUGGGCAGAGAGCCUGGGCAGCGUUGGAUUUGAUGCCAUUAUCUUGGACCCAUGUGGAGAAAAUGCAACCUUUCAUCAAGCACCUGUGGGAACCAGCAAAAGCUGAACUGAUGGGCCGAUACGGACAUCUAAGGAAAGGUUCGGUGGAGGCCCGUCACUGUGACAAGAUGAUGUGGUGAUUUUUGGGGAAAAAAAAACACAGAGAAAGGUCAUUUUACAACUAGAGAGG